rnacentral:rRNA from 1 species
UGGGGAAUAUUGGACAAUGGGCGCAAGCCUGAUCCAGCCAUGCCGCGUGAGUGAUGAAGGCCCUAGGGUUGUAAAGCUCUUUCACCGGUGAAGAUAAUGACGGUAACCGGAGAAGAAGCCCCGGCUAACUUCGUGCCAGCAGCCGCGGUAAUACGACGGGGGCUAGCGUUGUUCGGAUUUACUGGGCGUAAAGCGCACGUAGGCGGACUAUUAAGUCAGGGGUGAAAUCCCGGGGCUCAACCCCGGAACUGCCUUUGAUACUGGUAGUCUUGAGUUCGAGAGAGGUGAGUGGAAUUCCGAGUGUAGAGGUGAAAUUCGUAGAUAUUCGGAGGAACACCAGUGGCGAAGGCGGCUCACUGGCUCGAUACUGACGCUGAGGUGCGAAAGCGUGGGGAGCAAACAGG